rnacentral:tRNA from 1 species
GCUUUGGAUAGCUCAGUUGGGAGAGCGUCAGACUGAAGAUCUGAACAGGUCCCUGGUUCGAUCCCGGGUCAAAGCA